UACGGGGGGGGCAAGCGUUGUUCGGAAUUACUGGGCGUAAAGGGCUCGUAGGCGGCCAACUAAGUCAGACGUGAAAUCCCUCGGCUUAACCGGGGAACUGCGUCUGAUACUGGAUGGCUUGAAUCCGGGAGAGGGAUGCGGAAUUCCAGGUGUAGCGGUGAAAUGCGUAGAUAUCAGGAGGAACACCGAUGGCGAAGGCAGCUGCCUGGCCUAACACUGACGCUGAGGUGCGAAAGCGUGGGGAGCGAACGGG
rnacentral:rRNA from 1 species